GAGGUUCGGUCAUGAUGGACAUAGCCCUCGUAAGGAGCUGCCUUUUGAAGAUCUCCUGGACGAUGGGAGGCAUUUAGGGAAUGAUAGGAAUCCCAUUUGCGGAAGUAGGUUUGGGAUAGUCACUGUGGGCCGAGGGGCUGCUCCCGUGCUCUGCUGUGUUCUAUAACUUUCUUUUACUGAUGCUGAUACCGGGCAAAAUCUUCGUCUUGUCUUGAAAUGGUGAAUCUUCCAGCUUUUGGAUCGGUGGGUCUCAGUUCAAUACUUCAGAAGUAAAAAGCCCUCUGACAAAGCUCCACUCUCUCUGCCACCUGUGUCUGUAAACACACAGUGUCGGCUGCCAAAGGGAGGGUGACGGCUUAGGUAUGUCUCCCUACCCCGGAACUCACCCUCUGACCUCAGCUGGCCACGGACAAGACCCGAGAAUGAGAAGAGCGGCGUUACCCUGGGCCUGGUUCGAGCUGUCAGCCCAGACCUGCUCUGCAGCAGCGGCUCCAGGAGGGGAAGGCUGACAUUGAGAGCUGCUCCCUUAGACCCCAGCAGCAAACAAGUUGUCACGCUUCCGCUCGCUCGACGCAGGUGGUUCUCUCGGCUGCAGGUUAUUUCGGGACUCACAGCUGCCAGCCCGCAACGGCAGAGAACGAGUGAAGUCUGGUGCCGAAGGCUGAGGGGCUGUGCCAAGGUGGCAUUAACCUGCAGUGUGGCCGUCUCGCUCGAGUAGGACACUUCCUGAGGCUCCUGUUGACCCUGUCUGACGAUCUCGACUAUUUCAAUCCCACCGAGACGAAUUUGCCCAGGGGCUCGUUCGUUAAGCAAAUUUCCCUCGGUGUACACAUUACGCAUUUUGAAAUGUUGAACAACAUCGUGUCACAACCACAGACUCUGUGGUAGGACCUGGGUGCUCUCGCAGAGGGGCUGCUGAACAGCGUCAACAAUCAUGCUGUGUCUCUCCCUCUGCGCUUGGGCCACGACCACACAUCCUUGUCAGAACAUGCAUUACGUUGCACCAGGUGGAACAUCCCAAGCCACUUCUCAGAAGCAAAGUUUAUCACCAGGAAAAAGGAUUCGGGAGAAUGGUUUCAGGAGGUGCCUUAAAGGGGUGGACAGAAAACUGCGGAGCCUCAGUGAGGAAAUUCCAGAGCUUUCGAUGCAGGCAUCCAAAG